rnacentral:rRNA from 1 species
CGCGGUAAUACGUAUGUCCCGAGCGUUAUCCGGAUUUAUUGGGCGUAAAGCGAGCGCAGACGGUUUAUUAAGUCUGAUGUGAAAGCCCGGAGCUCAACUCCGGAAUGGCAUUGGAAACUGGUUAACUUGAGUGCAGUAGAGGUAAGUGGAACUCCAUGUGUAGCGGUGGAAUGCGUAGAUAUAUGGAAGAACACCAGUGGCGAAGGCGGCUUACUGGACUGCAACUGACGUUGAGGCUCGAAAGUGUGGGUAGCAAACAGGAUUAGAUACCCUGGUAGUCCACACCGUAAACGAUGAACACUAGGUGUUAGGAGGUUUCCGCCUCUUAGUGCCGAAGCUAACGCAUUAAGUGUUCCGCCUGGGGAGUACGACCGCAAGGUUGAAACUCAAAGGAAUUGACGGGGACCCGCACAAGCGGUGGAGCAUGUGGUUUAAUUCGAAGCAACGCGAAGAACCUUACCAGGUCUUGACAUCCUUUGAAGCUUUUAGAGAUAGAAGUGUUCUCUUCGGAGACAAAGUGACAGGUGGUGCAUGGUCGUCGUCAGCUCGUGUCGUGAGAUGUUGGGUUAAGUCCCGCAACGAGCGCAACCCUUAUUGUUAGUUGCCAGCAUUCAGAUGGGCACUCUAGCGAGACUGCCGGUGACAAACCGGAGGAAGGCGGGGACGACGUCAGAUCAUCAUGCCCCUUAUGACCUGGGCUACACACGUGCUACAAUGGCGUAUACAACGAGUUGCCAACCCGCGAGGGUGAGCUAAUCUCUUAAAGUACGUCUCAGUUCGGAUUGUAGUCUGCAACUCGACUACAUGAAGUCGGAAUCGCUAGUAAUCGCGGAUCAGCACGCCGCGGUGAAUACGUUCCCGGGUCUUGUACACACCGCCCGUCACACCAUGGGAGUUUGUAAUGCCCAAAGCCGGUGCCUAACCU